GAUGAAGAACGUAGCGAAAUGCGAUAAGUAAUGUGAAUUGCAGAAUUCAGUGAAUCAUCGAGUCUUUGAACGCACAUUGCGCCCUCUGGUAUUCCGGGGGGCAUGCCUGUUCGAGCGUCAUUACAACCCUCAAGCUUUGCUUGGUAUUGGACAUUGCCAGUUUCUGGCAGGUCUUAAAAUCAGUGGCGGUGCCAUUUGGCUUCAAGCGUAGUAAUUCUUCUCGCUUUGGAGAUCCAGGUGGUUACUUGCCAAUAACCCCCAAUUUUUUCAGGUUGACCUCGGAUCAGGUAGGGAUACCCGCUGAACUUAAGCAUAUCAAUAAGCGGAGGA
rnacentral:misc_RNA from 1 species